CACAAUGGGAACUCCCUCCAAAGUCCUUUUUUUUUUUUUUUUUUUUAUGCAACAUUCUUCAUUGCACCAGAGAUGGGAAAAUAUGCCCACAUAUCAAAUUGAUUCUUAAUUUCCUGACCUCAUGACCAAACUGAUAGCAAUUCAUUCAGUCCGGAAUUUAUAAAUUAUAUAUUAUGACUAAUCCUUGUCACUUUUGAAUUCCCAACAUCAGGAACAAUUGUCUUUCACUCCAGAGGGGCUUAAAAAUGUCGAGUGCAUCCUCAGGGAUCUAUAUAAGGCCAUUAAACCAUCUCCACACUUGUUUUUCUUGGGGGAAAAAAAGAGAAAAUGGGGAAAAAAUAGAGCUAAACCCUAAGUUAAAGAUUACUUAUUGGAGUUCCUAUUGUGGCUCAGUGCCUUAAGAACCCAACAUAGUCUCUGUGAGAAUGCGGGUUGGAUUCCUUCACCUCACUCAGCGGACUGAGGAUCCGCCUAUUAGAAGGCAUCAAACAGCAAAGGGAAAACACAAAUACGCCACCUGCUGGAUGCAGCUUUCUUUCGGGGGUCAUUUUCACACCACCAUUUAGGAAAUAGGAAAUAGAGUCAAGAAAGGCCUGCAUUGUCACGGGGAGGGUGGCUGGAGAGUGGGGCUGUCUCGGCCAUGAGAAUUUUGGGACAGGGUUCAGAGAAAAGGCAGCCCAGAAAAAAGAGGGCUCCGAAAAUCUGCCUAAACAGUCUGUUCAAGAUCUUGGCUGCUCUUAUGCUGAGUAUAAGCUGAGCCAUCAUUUAAGAGGUCUAUCAGAGAAUAAUGGCCAUGUAAGAAAUGGAAACAACCUAAAUGUCCAUCAACAGGUGUACAUAUAUACAGUAGAAUAUUAUUCAGCCGUAAAAAAGAAUGAAAUAAUGCCAUUUGCAGCAACAUGGAUGCAACUAGAGAUUCUCAUAUUAAGCAAAGUAAGAAAAAGAAAGACAAGUACCAUAUAAUAUCACUUAUAUGUAGAAGCUAAAACAUGGCACACGGAGUUCUCUUGUGUCGCACCGGCAUUGUCACUGCUGUGGCUCAGAUCAUGGGUCCAAUCCCUGGCCCAGGAAAUUCCACAUGCUGCAGGCGCAGCUAAAAACAAAACGAAAUUAAAAUAUGACACAAAUGAACUUACCUGUGAAACUGAAACAGAUUCAUGGACAUAGAGAAAAGACUUGUUGUUGCCACAGUGGAAGGGGUUGGGGGAGGGCUGGAUUGGGCAUUAGACGUUAGCAGAUGCAAGCUAUUCUCCAUGGAGGCAAUAAACAAUAAGUUCCUACUGUAGAGCACAGGGAACUAUAUUCAAUAUACGAUGAUAACUCAUAAUGGAAAAGAAUAUUUUUAAAAAGAAUAUGUGUAUGUAUAUGUAAUAUAUAUAUAUAGGUAUAUGUGUGUGUGUGUAUAUAUAUAAAACAUUGUAAAUAACCGGUACUUUAAUUAAAAAGAGAGAGAAAGAAUAAUGGCUGCAGAGCAGGAAAGCUGAGCGGAAUGAUCAGAGGCAACACGCAGUUUGGGAGUAGGAGGCUGGAGAUGACGCCCCUGAGAGAAAAGAAACCUGCCUUACCACCAAAGGCCUUCAGCUGCUCUCUCAGGCCACGAGCUGGAAUAGAACCACACCCGAAGAAGAAGGGCUAUGCCCCAGAAAUAGGAGCAAAACAGAAAGCAAUACAGCAAACCAACAGCCAAAUGUGGACAGGAUCAAGGCUAAUGCACAAGUAAAUGAACUGCCUACCAAAACAAAACUGGACAGUCUUUAGAGGAAGAAAUUCUAUAACUUAUUGUCUACAAUGUCUAGCAAAAAAAAAAAAAAAAAACAAAAAAACAGUAACUACUAAGGCAAAUGAAGAAGCAAGAAGAAGCUACAGAUACUUGAGGAAAAAAAGAGUCAAUAGAAACACAUCAAUAGAAGGUCCAGAUUUGGGAGUGAGCAGAUAAGGAUUUAGAGAAGAAGUUAAAGAAAAAAUAUCUUUAAUGAAUUGAAAUAUAAGGAAUGUAUCAUAUGUCUGUAAAUGGUAUGUGUGUGUGUUUCCCUUCCUUUAUUUUGAAUAUAUCUUUUUGGAUAUAUUCAUCCACAUGCAGAUAAAUUACACAUAGGACCUUAACCUCAGACUAUAUCCUAGUCUCAUAUAACCGGUCUCGACAAAUUUCAUGAUUUAAAUCAGAUAUUACAUGUUCUUUCACCAUGAAGGAAUUCAAUGAGUACUCAGUAACGGAAGGAUACAUAGAUACAGAAAAGCAACCCUUGGGAAUUAGAAAAUAUUUUGAGCUGAAAGAAAAUGUAAUGAACCAAAACUUAUGGGAUGCAGCAACGAAGGAAUAUUAAUGCUCUUAAAUACAUAUAAAAAGAUUGAAAAUCACUUAUCUAAGUCUCCAGUUCAAGCACUGCGGAAAAAAGCAGCAAGUGAAACACAAAAAUAAGAAAAGGCAGGAAAUAAUAAGCGUAGAAGCAAAAAUCAACGAAAUAUAAUGUAGAACAUCAACAAACCCAAAAUUUGCUUCUUAGAGAAAAUGCACCCAAAUCAAUAACCUGUAGCCAGACCGACCGAGGGAAGAAGAGGAGAAAGGCACAAGUGACAAGUAUCAGGCACAAACAGGAGACAUCACACCAUCUCACGGAGAUUAAGAAAGACGAAAAAGAUGCUGCGAAAAGCCUCGUGCCAAUAAAUGUGCAUUUUUUAUGUCAAUAAAUUAGAUGACGUGAGUAAAAGUU
ensembl:lncRNA